UACAGAGGGGGCAAGCGUUGUUCGGAAUUACUGGGCGUAAAGGGCGCGUAGGCGGCCUGUUAAGUCGAACGUGAAAUCCCCGGGCUCAACCCGGGAACUGCGUCCGAUACUGGCAGGCUUGAAUUCGGGAGAGGGAUGCGGAAUUCCAGGUGUAGCGGUGAAAUGCGUAGAUAUCUGGAGGAACACCGGUGGCGAAGGCGGCCUUCUGGACAGUGACUGACGCUGAGCCGCGAAAGCGUGGGGAGCAAACAGG
rnacentral:rRNA from 1 species